rnacentral:lncRNA from 1 species
AUCUCAGAAAGCCUGCGACUCGUAUUCGGUUGGUUUUAAAAGCACCUACUCGGAUUCAGGAGAGAAACUUGAAGUUUUGAUCGAUGUUUUCAUAGAUUCAUAUAUGACUUCAUUGACUUGGAAAAGCUAGCGUUUUUAUUUAUACUGUGUUUCUACAAGUAUUUAGUCUUCGAUGUUGGCUGUGUUAGGAGUAUUCGACGCAAUAAACAUUCUUGUCAUAUUGAGUAAGUAGUUGGAACACUAUACUAAUCUAUCUGUUGUAUAUAUGAUGGGAAUUCUAUCGAGUUUGAAAGGGUGAUUGAUCCCCAAUCUAUUGGGGGCAUGCAUGCCCAGCUUUUAAGAACUUCGUGUUUCUAUAUCCAGACUCUCUAUCCAUACGCAAAAUAUACCAAUAUUGGUGAUGGUUGUCCCUGCAGCAGUAUUUACGUAAGUUCCGUAGCCUCAAUCGAUCUGAUCGUACAUAUAUAAUACUUGCAUCUCUGAUUCAAAAAGAAGAACAAAGCAGCAUACCGGCCGUCUGCCACGAUGUUGCGUGAUUAGCAUGAAAGAAUAAAUAUCUGCUGAUUGUCAUCGAUUCUACUCCGAUCCCUAUCACAAUAAUUCAUUGUUAACCUAGCUUGUUGCAACUCAUCGAUAGCUAAGACAGAUACCCUAAUCUCAGAUUAUCACACAAUGCAUGGUCGCUGUUGGUCACCCUUUAUUUGCUGUGAUAUAUAUCCACAAGUAGAUAAGUUUGAUAUCGAGGACACGAUUGAAAUCCUUGUUGAUCUUUUAUUCUUAGCUAGGAUGACUGGAAGACCCAACACAUGCCCUCAUGAUUCUAUCAUAUCUGGAUUAAGUUAACAUUGUCAAGUCUCAUUCUUAGAGUAUUACGGUGAUAAUCAUAAUCUGCCCCCUGCAUGCAUGCAGCUCAUACCCUUAAUUUGGCUAUUAGACUUCGACUCCGUAAUAUAUUUAACAAUCUGCUGGUGAUUAAAAUUAACUGGAUAGAUGCCUUUAAUAUUGAGGACCCCAUAUGGCUGAUUCUUAUUCGCACCAAUCCAAAUAUAUUAUUAGCUAAAAGACUCAGGUUUAUUGAAGAUAAAUAUAUAGAAAACUUAGUUAGUUUGAAGUUUGAAGUUUGAACUUCUCCAGCAAAUAAGGAUUUGCCAUGCCAGUAGAUCUAUCACCAUCUGCUUUUUUUGUUCGAUGCCAAAUUUAGUUUGGUAAAUAAGCAUGAAACUUUGUAUCCCAAGUGGCUUCGCACUCGCGAAAGUUGUAUUAGUUAAGUGACUUAAGUCGAUAUCAUUGCAGAUCGAUGAAGCAUUUGUUACUGUUGUUUACCAGUUUAAUUCGACCAAUUCAUUCCUGUAGAUGAAAAGCUCCCAAUCCAUUCCUUUUGACCAAGUCAAUCCAUUAUGCAUCUAUUAUCCUCUCUGAAUAUAUGCGAUCUUUCGCAAGCUAUGAUAUUAGUUAUUAUAUGGGGUUCAGGGGUUGAGAAGUUAGAAAUCGGAUUUCAGAGGACUGGGGAAAAAAAAAGAAAAAAGAAAAAGACAGGACUGCAUAAAAAUCCUGGACUUUAGUUAUACCUAGCUACAAUAGGCAUCAUAUAUAACUUCAAGCAGACAAAAUAAUUUUACUUCAAGCAGACUAUAGCUAGUACAUGUAUCCAAUUUGUGCUGGAUGAUCGAAUAUGCUUGAAAGAUUUUAAUGGUUAAACACCAUUUCAUUAUGUAAGAUACUAAAUAAGAUUAUCAUCUUGAUAAUAAAAGUGAUUAAUGGUUGAUUAGGAGUUUUAGUGUUUAACCUAGCAUGAAAGUAAACCUAGUACGUAGUGUUAAUCGCAUCGAUUCAUAAAAUAUCCCCAUGCCAGAUCAGAAAGAUGUAUUAAUCUAAUAUAUAGAAUCCAAAGUGCAGAUGCAGAGGAACACACUCUAGCUAGCUCUUGCAGAGCACCCUAUAAAUUGAUCUCGUGCUCUAACCAGUACCUCACUAUACACAGAUACCAGAACGUACAAGCCUUUCUUGCAGAGCCAGCCAGAAGUCCAGAACUACUUGAGCCAUAUAUAUAUGGUGAGGUUUGUCCAAUAUCCCUUUGAAAAAUCUGCUGCUUGUUUCACACCGACCCUCAGCUGGCAUCAUGAGCCGACGGUCGUUAAUAAGAAGGUCCCAGCUCAGUGGAGCCCGGAGCAGGUCCGUGAUCUUUUCAAAAGCGCUGACAAGAAUGGUGACGGCAAACUCUCCAAGGAGGAGCUCAAGGCAGCCUUUCGGAGACUCGGAUCGCGUUGGAGCUCUUUCAGAGCUAGGAGAGCUUUACGCCAUGUAGAUGCCAACGGCGACGGCGUCAUCUCUAAUGAGGAGCUCAACGACCUUAUCAACUAUGCCCUACAAUGUGGUUAUAAGCUCUAAGCGCGCGCCAUGUUGUUAUGGGGGUGGUGUACUAGUGUUUCUGCUUAACUACUUUACAUAUCUAGAUCGAGUGUAGCCAUGCUUCCAUCUAUGUUUAAUAUUACAUAGAAGAAUCUGGGUAUGUAAUCUACUUUAUCUAUAUAGUGUCUCUGUAUAAUGAGUGUGUUAAUUUGAGUGUUAUGGUAGUGAAGGACGGAGGCGACCUCUUGUUGCCCCUCUUUGCCAGGGUAGAUGAACUAGCUAUUAGAUCGAACGUACUGCCUGUAUGUGUAAUCUAUGUAUCUCUAAGCUAAUUAAGACAAAAUUACAGAAGAAACUUCUUUAGUAAUGCGUACGAGUGCACAUUCGUAUAUGUUGGAGUAUAUUAAUCGAUGGCAAAUGGGAACAAGAUUAAAUCUAAUUAAGUGAAGCAUUCUAGCACCCGACUCAACAGCAUCUUCAAUUAUAAGUUGCAUGCACUAUUAGGAACUCCCCAGUAACUCCCAAACUCACGAACAAUUUACCUUCUCUACACUUACAUGAUAGUAAAAUUCUUUCAAUCUUGAUUUUAUUUUAUGAGUGAAGAAGCAUGAUUAGAUAAAAUUCAUGAAGCAUAACAUGCAGUAUGAUGUUUCAUUUCAUGCUGAUUUGAAAAGAUUAAUUAUAUAUCCUCAAUCCAUGAAGCAUCACUGUAAUGUGGUUUCUUAAUCAAUAAUCAAUUGAUUAUCUCUCACUUUAACUAAUCAUGAAUAAUGUUGCUGUGCUUAGGUUAUCAGAUGAUUAUAAAAUCACCGGCAUUCAUGUAACUCGAUCAAGAUGCUUUGUACUAAAGGCCACCCCAUGGCCAAUAUAUAAUGAAUUCUGAUUCGCACCAAUCCAACAUAUAAUUAUGUCGAUCAAGUUAAUGUCUGAGAUUAAUUUACUUGAUACAAACCUCCAGCAAAGGCGGAGUAGCUUAUUACCUGAAUUGGUAGCUCGAUCUGAAAAGAAAAUAUGCAUGCAAUUAUAUUAAGCUUUAAACGAAGAGCAAUGCUACUAAACUAUUCAAAAAGGAUAUUAUGGAGAUGUUCAAAAAGAAGAAGAAGAAUAUAUGACAAGCAUAUGAAGGAUAUCAUGAGACUACAAAAGUAGGUUGAACUAAUAUUCCUUCUUUUUUUUAUUAGUGGUGUAGUAGUGUUUCUGCUUAACUACCUUACAUAUCUCUAGAUCGAGUGUCGCCAUGUUUUCAUCUAUGUUGAAUAUUAGAUGGAAGAAUCUGGGGCCAUAUAUAUAGUGUCUCUGUAUAAUGAGUGUGUUAAUUUGAGUGUUAUGGUAGUGAAGGACGGAGGCGAGCUCUUGUUGCCCAUCUUUGCCAUGCCAGGGUAUAGAUGAACUAGCUAUUAGAUCGAACGUACCCUGCCGGUAUAUGUAAUCUAUGUAUCUCUCUAACUAAGCUAAGACAAAAUUACAGAAGAAACUUAAUUAGUUUGAACUUUGAACUUCUCCAGCAAAUAAGGAUUUGCCAGUAGAUCUUUCACCAGCUGCUUUUUUGGUUCGAUGCCAAAUUUAGUUUGGUAAGUAAGCAUGAAACUUUGUAUCCCAAGUGGCUUCGCACUCGCAAAAGUUGUAUUAGUUAAGUCAAUAUCAUUGCAGAUCGAUGAAGCAUUUGUUACUGUUGUUUACCAGUUUAAAGAAAAUGAUUCUUGGUCUUAAUAAGGCCUAAGAUUUGUGACCUUAAUCCUAUGUGGUAUGUUAUGUCACCUAAACACAUCACCAAUUAAAAAAAUUAUGUAAUGUCAUUCUUAAAAAAGAAGAAGACAAUCUUAUCCUUCUAAUCUAAUGGCUCCAAAUUAUUGUCUUUUUAUUAAGAGAAAAAAUUGAAUUGUUUUGUCUUUGUUUUAUAUAAAACUACAUAUUUCUGACCUUUUCUCUCUUUUUUUGAAGGCAUAUUUCUAACCUUUUCUUUCUCUUUUUUCCUUUUCAUCACUAUCGUGCACUAAAAUAUAAUGUGAAAAUAUAAUUUUGAGAAUAUACUAGUUGGUUAAGGUGUUUAACUAACAAUUUUGAGGUCAUGGAUUCAACACGGACAUAUGUAAGGUGUGUGAGUUAUUAAUUAAUUUUUUUUUUUUUUNNNNNNNNNNNNNNNNNNNNNNNNNNNNNNNNNNNNNNNNNNNNNNNNNNNNNNNNNNNNNNNNNNNNNNNNNNNNNNNNNNNNNNNNNNNNNNNNNNNNNNNNNNNNNNNNNNNNNNNNNNNNNNNNNNNNNNNNNNNNNNNNNNNNNNNNNNNNNNNNNNNNNNNNNNNNNNNNNNNNNNNNNNNNNNNNNNNNNNNNNNNNNNNNNNNNNNNNNNNNNNNNNNNNNNNNNNNNNNNNNNUCUACACGUACAUAUAAUUCGUCCAAAAGAAAGUUUAUAUACAUAUAUAGGUAAUUCAUCCAAAAAAAAUUGAUAGAGACUUUUUUAAAAAAAUAAAAUAAAAAAUUCGAUACAGAAUAUAUAGAACUAAAUUUAGAUAUAUAGAUAUCAGAAUUCUAACCCGUAAAAUAAAUAUGAAAAUUGAUAAGUUAAAAGUCUAUAACGUACUAAAUUUAGAUUCACAAAGUUGGAAGGAAAUUUUAAUAAAUUUUAUGGUAUAAAGUCUAAUUUGGUAUGAUUAUUAACUUGGUCAUUAUUGACAAAUUAAAUUUGGUAUAUGCAUCCAUAUUAGGAGUGUAAGAAUAUAUUUCUUAUUAGCAUGUACCAGUUGUUUUUGAGCCCAGUGGGUAUUUUUGGUCCAAGACUCAGGGUAGUUUUGGAUAACAUUUGGGCCAGUACCUGUGGCCCUUUUUUAAUGCGAAGCCCACGAAGGGUGGCGAAGUCUGGCAACACGCGAGUUGGAAUUGUGCAAGGAUUCUGAUACCUCGCGGGAUUCGAUGUCCUCGCGGGAUCCUUUGUUCUAGUUCGUGUAGGAUUCUACAGUGCAUGGCGAGGUAGAGUUGGAAAUGGACUGUAGUACCCGUGGGAUAGGAUCGCUUAGUGCUCGAGUUCGCGUACAACGCUACAGUGAUAUGAUGCGGGGCGGUGAGCGAGACCUAGGCGAAGCCUGUUUUGGACACGUGUUGCAUGGAUCGCGCGGCUCGCGAGCUGGUCAUUUCCUGGUGGAAUUCUAAUUGCUGAGUCCGAAUGGAUUUGUGAUUAGGUCUCUGCGAAUUGCUUGCGGAUCGCUAUAUAAAGGAGUUUGACACAACGAACAAAACACACAAUCAAUCAUACAAAACAACUACAAAUCUUCGAGCAUCCUCGAAACCCUAAGUUCUAAGUGCACCUCGCCUUAGAUCUCAGAGCCCGUCUGUACUCGCCUCUCUUUCCCAAUUGUUGCUCUGCUCGCUUCGAACAGUGAGUAUCGAUUCACAGGUGACUAGAUAGUUUGCUCGUAAUUCCUCGCCCGCGAGGUGACACCGGAGCUCUACUUCGCCUGAUUAGAAGUCAAGAACGCGCACCGUUCUCGUUCCGCGUCCGCGCGGUGGCACGCCCUGCAAACCCUAAUUUACUUUUGGUAGCACAAGUUACCUCUCUACCCCUGCUGAGGAUCGUGGCCAAAACACCAGUCAUUAAUUGUUAGGGUUAAUAUUGUAUUUUUACUAAAGAAUGAUAUGACAUGAUUUAUUAAAUUGAUGAUAUGUCUAAAUGACAUGAUAUGUCACAUAAGAUUAAGACAAUAAAUCUUAAGUCUUAUUAAAACCCUCUAAUCUUAGGUCUUAUUAAUUUGACCAAUUCACUCCUGUAGAAAAGCUCCCAAUUCAUUCCUUUUGACCAAGUCAAUCCAUUAUGCUCUGUGAAUAUAUGCGAUCUUUCGCAGGCUAUGUUAUUAGUUAUUAUAUGGGGUUGAGAAGUUAGAAAUCGGAUUUCAGAGGACUGGGAAAAGAAAAGACAGGACUGCAUAAACAAUAUUGGACUUUAGUUAUACCUAUUACCUAGCUACAAUAGGCAUCAUAUAUAACUUCAAGCAGACAAAAUAAUUUUACUUCAAGCAGACUAUAGCUAGUACAUGUAUCCAAUUUGUGCUGGAUGAAUAUGCUUGAAAGAUUUUAAUGGUUAAACACCAUUUCAUUAUGUAAGAUACUAAAUAAGAUUAUCAUCUUGCUAAUAAAAGUGAUUAAUGGUUGAUUAGGAGUUUUAGUGUUUAGCCUAGCAUAAUAGUUAAGCUAGUACGUAGUGUUAAUCGCAUCGAUUCAUAAAAUAUCCCCAUGCCAGAUCAGAAAGAUGUCUUAAUAUAAUAUAUAGGAUCCAAUCCAAAGUGCAGAUGCACAGGAACACUCUAGCUAGCUCUUGCAGAGCACACUAUAAAUUUGAUCUCGCGCUCUAACCAGUGGUACAAGCCUUUAUUGCAGAGACAGCCAGAAGUCCAGAACUAGUUGAGCCAUAUAUAUGAGGUUUGUCCAAUAUCCCUUCACACCGGUCCUCUGCUGGCCUCAUGAUAAGAAGGUCCCUGCAGCUCAGUGGAGCCCGGAGCUGGUCCGUGAUCUUUUCAAAAGCGCUGACAAGAACGGUGACGGCAAACUCUCCAAGGAGGAGCUCAAGGCAGCCUUUCGGAGACUCGGAUCGCGUUGGAGCUCUUACAGAGCUAGGAGAGCUUUACGCCAUGUAGAUGCCAACGGCGACGGCGUCAUCUCUAAUGAGGAGCUCAACGACCUUAUCAACUAUGCCCUACAAUGUGGUUAUAAGCUCUAAGCGCGCGCCAUGUUAUUAUGGGGGUGGUGUACUAGUGUUUCUGCUUAACUCUACUUUACAUAUCUCUAGAUCGAGUGUAGCCAUGUUUCCAUCUAUGUUGAAUAUUACAUGGAAGAAUCUGGGGCUAUGUAUAUAUAGUCUCUGUAUAAUGAGUGUGUUAAUUUGAGUGUUAUGGUAGCGAAGGACGGAGGCGUUGCCCAUCUUUGCCAGGGUAGAUGAACUAGCUAUUAGAUCUAACGUUCCCUGCCUGUAUAUGUAAUCUAUGUAUCUCUUCAACUAAGCUAAGACAAAAUUACAGAAGAAACAUAUUUAGUAAUGCGUACGAGUGCACAUUCGUAUAUGUUGGAGUGUAUAAAUCAAUGGCAAAUGGGAACAAGAUCAAAUCUAAUUAACUAAUCAAGUGAAGCAUUCUAGCACCCGACUCAACAGCAUCUUCAAUUAUAAGUUACAUGCACUAUUAGGAACUCCCCAAAAACUCCCAAACUCACGAACAAUUUACCUCUCUAUAUAACUUUGUCUACAAAUCGAACACGUACAUGAUAGUAAAAUUCUUUCAAUCUUAAUUUUAUUUUAUGAGUGAAGAUGCAUGAUUAGAUAAAAUUCAUGAAGCAUAACAUGCACUAUAUAUGAUGUUUCAUGCUGAUUUGGAAAGAUUAAUUAUCCGCAAUCCAUGAAAGCAUCACUGUAAUGUGGUUUCUUAAUCAAUAAUCGAUUAAUUAUCUCUCACUUUAACUAAUCAUGAAUAAUGUUGCUGUUCCUAGAUUAUCAGAUGAUUAUAAAAUCAUCGGCAUUAAUUCAUGCAGUAACUUGAUCAAGAUGCUUUGUAAAGGCCACCCCAUGGCCAAUAUAUAAUGGAUUCUGAUUCGCACCAAUCCAACAUAUAAUGUCGAUCAAGUUAAUGUCUGAGAUUAAUUUACUUAAUACAAACCUCCAGCAAAUUAAGGCGGAGUAGCUUAUUACCUGAAUUGGUCGAUCUCAAAAGAAAAUAUGCAUGCAAUUAUAUUAAGCUUUAAACGAAAAGCAAUGCUACUAAACUAUUCAAGCUAGACCACAAAAGUAUGUUGAACUAAUAUUCCUUCUUUUUUGUUAGGGGAUACCAAUAUUUCUUUUAAUCGCUGUAAAUAUUAUUAUUACGAGACUAAUACAGUAGAAAAGUUAAAAACAAGCAUCUAUAUUAUGCUCUUGUGCUUUUGUUGACAAGCAUCUAUCUGGUGCAUCAAGGCAGGCUGCUAAGUUUUGAAUGGACUAUACCUAAGCAAAAAUGGAACCUAUAAUCUUAACAGAUUCUCUUCUAAUUUUACUUUCAUUGAUGGCAUACAGCGAGAAUCCCUGAUCACGUGACUCACUCAAGAAAGAUGCAUUCAGAAACUAGCAAGAGAGGCCAAGCCAGAGCUCACUAUAUAUAAAUUGAUGCCGCGCUCUAAACCUCUCAUAGUCAUCUCAUAUUUCAAGUGACCCAAAUUCAGGAGAAGCUAGCAUCUAUAACCAAUAAAGAAUGGUUAGGUUUGUCGAUGCUAAGCCGGUGGUGAUUCACAGGAAGCAGGCUGAAAUUCCGUGGAGCGAGGAGCAAGUCCGUCAACUUUUCAAAAGCUUCGACAGGAACGGAGACGGCAAGCUCUGCAAGGAAGAGCUCAAGGAUGCUUUCCGGAAGCUCGGAUCGCGGUGGAGCUCCUUCCGGGCUAGGAGAGCAUUACGCUAUGUAGAUUCCAACCACGACGGCCACAUUUCAAAAGAGGAGUUCAAUGAUCUUGUCAACUAUGCCCUAGAGUGUGGUUAUAAGUUAUAAGUAGUGUCAUAUUCGGGUUAGUUUUUGCCCUCAGUUAUAUUAUAUCAAGUACGAAGGAGGCAUGUCUGGUUUUAUGUCCAUAAUAAGCGUCGAAGGAGGCAGCCCCAUAAGUCCCGGAAGAAUGGAAGAUUACGAAGUAAGGAGGCGACCUCUUGUUGCCCUUAAGGGUGGAUAAAGUAACCCUGUUUCUGUAUUCAUCUUAGUAAAAUUGUAAAUAGUAAUAUAUAUACAUAAUCAACCAGGUAAGUGUUAUAAUCCUUGUGCUCUGGUCAUGCAAUAUAUGCCUUUUCGCUAGUACUAGGAUUCUAUUUUUGAUAUACCAAAGAAAAGGAAUAAAAAGAACACAGAUCUCUUCAAACCAAAAACUGAUUUCUUUCCAAGAAUUAAAAUGAAAGACUUUAAAGAUGAAGAAGGUAAAACUCGCUCGGAUUAGCUAGGAACUGUUUGGCGCACUCAAUCAUUCAUAUCCAUAAAUAUAGAAUCCAGUCAAUCGUUUCUGUACGAUAAGAUAUCCGUUUGAGAUAUUGACUCGUAGAAUACAACCAGCUAGAGGCUCGAAUAGAAUCCCACUCUAAUAUACAGUAGUAUGAAAACACAGAGAAUAUCACUUAAUUGGAAACCCUCCAUGCAUCAUAACCUGUACAUGCCAGUUCCUUGAGUAAAUCAGGUUCUUCCUCAACGGUUCGUGCAUAUCCUUUCGAUUCUCAUAACCAAUAUAGAACACACCAAAGAACUAUAGCUAGCCAGCCUCAGAAGAGCAGCGCUCUUUUACAACAGAGAUUUGACCAAAAUCCACAAUUAAAUCACUGUUUCUGGUUCUGAUCGGGAGUUAGCUAGGUGGAGGGGCCAUGCGUGCCACAAGGCGGUCCAUACACAGGAUCGGAGCACCACGGUGGAGGAUGAGGCAUCUAUCCCAGGACGAGGAGGUGGACCUUGCAUUACCGGCCGUGGCGGAGGCGGUAGAUAUAUGGUCCCUCAUCAGUCAUCAUCUGGCCAGGAGUCCUCAUUAGUAUCUGAUGGAUGAGAAAACUGCACUGGUACGGUGGAGGACCUGGGAUUUGAGGUUGAGGUGGCCGGACAGCCAUGCCGAGUAAACUGUACAUGCAUGGAGGAGGUGAAGGCGUGGUCCCCGCCCUGCCGAGCCAUCUGUGACGGCCCCUAGCUAGCCUGCCUUGGAUAUCCAGGGCAUCUGGCCAGGUGGUCUGGAUAUCAAGAAUCAUUUGUAUAAAAGCUCAAGAAAUUACUCUAAAUGGUUUAAUCAUAUAUCUAAGGUUCGUCCAGAAAAAUAGUAACAUACAUGACUGAUGAAUUUUGAUAUACCACCAAUUCACGGACAGACUACGUACUUUAAGUAGAAUAUCGAUCAAAAUUAUGUGUUUGUAUGAGAUCAAAAUCGGAUGAAAUUUGGCAAAAAUGAUUUAUACAUUAGGUUCUAAAAACAGAACGGCGGAGAUAUGGAUAUGUGACCGAAAAGUGAGUGAAAAAAAAACAUUCACACUUUAAUUUCAGACUUUAAUUUCAGAACGAAUGUUUGCUCUAAAUAGAAACUAAUAUAUAUAUAUAUAUAUAUUUAUAAUGAACUAUCUCAAGCUCUUUUACUCGAUUAUCAGUUUCAAUUAUAUAUGUAAUUCAUGUUGUUGUGACGGAUCAACUCCACAAAAACCCUAAAUCCUAAACCCUAAAUCAUUUAUCCGGACAUAUGGUGAACACAUCUGUACGCAUAAAGUCGUAAACCAUCUUAACUUUAAUACGAUUUGUCAGACAAAAAUAUAAAAGUAAAAUAACUUUUAUUUGAUGUGAGAUAUAUGUCGGCAAUAUAUUCGUUCCCAUGUUUUUGCUGGUACAAUAUUCCUUUGCUUUUAUUCAUCGCUUUUACUCUUAUAGAAGCAAUACAUGUGCCACACGACGUGCCUGUAUGUUUCAGAAUAUCGAUCAACUGUACCUCAGUUCAGAACCCUUUGGCAAGUAAUUCGGGCUCGUUGAUUCGAUUCAAAUAAAGCUUCAGAUUUGAUAUAGCUAGUCUUCAAAUUUUCUAAAAGCUUUAUACUGAUUGAUGUGUUUGCCUCUACAGAUAUUUUCUUUCGGUUCUUAUCCUAAAGAAUCUACCAUACAUGGUAGCAACUAGCAAGGGACACUUGCUGAUAUUCCAUUCACUUCCUUAUAGGUGAAUACUUCAAUCCCCAAGAAUCACAUAAAUUUAAAUCCAGCCAUGUGCAAGAUGCCCAAAAGAAUAGGAAUGACCGUCUCAGCCAUUCGAUUUUGAUUCUAGCUAGUUUUUCCAAACUUUUGAACUAAAACUGUACGUGGAUGCAGAAGAGCUAGGGCAAGAUAUAGAAUCCACAAGAGAUGCCUCUAUCUCCUUGACUUAAAGCGGUCUCAGGGUCUUGAUACGAUCCAAUAAUUCAAGAUAUUAGUUAGGAGAUCUUCUACCAUAUAUAGUAGUAGGGAAGAUCAUGUUCUUCCAGCACUUAGGGGUCUGAUUUCAAUUGCUGAAUAUUAUUAGAGAAUCCUUGAACCCUUUUGACCAAGUAAAACAAGCUUGGAUAUAUCCAUUAUUAUAUAUCGAUAUCUGUUAUUAUCACUUGCGCCUAAUAAGAAUUAUGGAUUUAGUGUAUUAAAAUGCAGAAAUUAGUAAAAAAAAAAAAAAAAAAAACACUUUAGAGGCUACAUUGUGGCGAUGUAAAAUAUAGGUUACAAGAGUUUAUAUAGCUAGGCAGCAAAAUAACCAAAACACCCUGUUCUAUAUACUCCUAUAAUUCUAACAGAGCCAUGUUAAACCCGUAAGCUAUAGCUACAUAUGGUCAUGGGAAAUAUUGUUAAGGAUGCAAGUAAUAUAGUUAUUCCAAUUGCUACAUUACAAUUUUGGUACAUAAAACACCUGACUGGCUCUCCUAAAAUUGGAAUAUAUACAGGGGAGCGUCCCAGAGCCCUAUAUAUAGAUGUAUUCUCAAUCCAGUAAUGGAUCACAUACAGAUUCAUAGUGCUGUAAGUGGUAUCUCAUCCAAACAAGCCCUAACUUUCAGCAGAUAUGCCUCCGAGAAGACCCCGAGUCACUACGGUGAUUGAGAAUAAGAAAGUCGAUGUUCCGUACACUAAGCAGCAGAUCGAAGAUAUUUUCAAAAGCUAUGACCAGAACGGAGACGGCAAGCUCUCCUGGGACGAGGUGAAGGCAGCGUUCGCUAAACUCGGGGCGUUUUCGCCCUACUUCAGAGCCUGGCGAGGGAAAAGCCGUGCCGAUGCCAACGAAGACGGCUUCAUCUGUCUUCAGACCGAGCUCGAUGAACUUGUCAACUAUACUCUGGAACUACAGUAUAAACUGUAGUAACUAGAUCGACCAGCGUCUGGUUCAUGCUUCAGCUUAAUUUCUAUACUGUGUGAAGCAGCAAUAACGUACAGUUGUAAUUUGUAAGCGACUUAGUGAAGGAAGGUGGUGAUCUAUCGUAACGUACGUACGUAGCCCCUCUUUUGUACGAACUCAGUUUCUAAUUACCAAGUUAAAAUAAGAUUCAAGAUAUUCUCUUGCUACUUGGGAUGUUUGUAGAUCAUUUAUCUAAUUGAUCGAUGUCAGGCACUCUAUUAUUCUUGCUUAAAUCGGGUGGUAUUUAAUAAAUUAAGCUAUUCUAGUUUUAGCUCGAAAUAAUUGUGUUUACACCUCCUAAUCAUAUCCUUACAAAAUGUGGGCAAUUUGAUCAAAUAUUAAAUAGUUAUUGAACCUUUUCUUGUUAUAGAAAAUUUUCUAUCGAUCAUUCUCCACUCAACUCUGUCCCGACUAUAGUUUUUUUACAAAAACAAUUUGACGAAUACUGAAAAGUGAGAAUGCCCAAAUAACAUGCACGUUUAAUCCUUCUUCUUCUGGGUUUCUUUCGUUUUUUUCCUUCUUUUGCAGCUCCUCAUCCCCUUGCCUUCGUACCUCUCUCUUCACAGCUAUUCACUUCUUCUUUGAUAGAUUAGUCGUUAGGAAUGGCGGAACACAAUCGGGUUUUGCAUAUGGUGGCAUGUUAAUAAUCAAUUUGCUUAAGUUCGUUCUUCCCCUCUUUCUUCAAAUCUAGGUUUUUGUCAAUUUAAUUAUUAAAAAUAUCAUGAAUUUGUGAAAUUUGUCUUGUUUUUGUUCAACUCUAGUCCUCACAGACCCUUAUUUUGGUCUGAUUUCCAUUGAAGUACAGGUAAGGUUUAAGCAGAAUUGAGGUUUUUCCAGAAUUGGGGUUUACCCAUAAUUGAGAUUAAUAAUGUGUUGAGCAACUGUAUCAUAAUAUUUUAUAUAUAGAUCUGUAAUUGAUCGUAAGGUGAUCGAGGUUUCCAUCAAAUCGCAUACACUUUGUAAUUCGAUGAGAAGAACAAAGGAUCCAGAUGAGUCAAAAGAUCCAUGUCUAUUUUCGAAAUUCUAUGUUCUUGAUAUCAUGUUUACCAAACACUGUAGCAGUACUUAUUUUCACCUCAAUACUUUCAAAUAUAUGAUUUACCAAACACUAUACCGAGAUUUUUGACAACAGAUUAUUUUUACAACCGAGUUAUUUUAAAGUCGAGUUUAUAUACCUCAGUACCAAACUGGACCUAAUCUUUCUUUCUCGUUUAUAUAACCUCAUUCGAUGAAAGCACUAAUUUACUGUAGUUAAUCACUGUUUAGAAAAGUAGGAGCGAAUCUAAGCCUAACAAGAAUAAUUGUUAAGAAAAAAUGGGUGAGAGAGAGAGAGAGAGAGAGAGAGAGCUCCAGCACCAACAUAUUAUAAAUAGCUAGGAUCUUUCAAGGGUUUCACAGCGCACCAUCUUGUUCCAGCUUCCAAAUACUACAAGCCAGAUUAUACAAAUUACUCUAUGACGAUUAAGAGCAAGUGUGUAGCUAGUGAUGGCAAACGUGUUAUGACCACCGAGGAGUUGAAGAAGUGGCUGAAGAAAUUUGAUACUGAUAAAGAUGGCCGUAUAAGCAAAGAGGAACUCCGCCAGGCUAUCCGCUCCACCGGCGGACGCUUUGCCACGCUCAAGAGCCGGCGUGGGUUACGAUCCGCUGAUGUCGAUCAAGACGGCUACAUAGGUGAAGAAGAGCUCGACAACCUUGUUGAGUUUGCACAGAAGCAUUUGGGUGUCAAAAUUAUACACUUUUGAUCAUCAGUUCUAUCUAUAUACAAUCAUCUGUGUUGUAUUCGAUCUCUAUCCGAUGAGUGACUUAUAGAUGCAGCUGUGUUGUAUUCUCUAUUGGAUGAGUGACUUAUAGAUGCAGAAUAAAUGCAAGUGUGCUACUGUAGCACCACCAGGGUCAUGCACUGGCAGGGGCUAUGGAUUGCUUUAGUAGUUCCUCCUUAAUCCAUAUGUAUCUUAUUCAUUUGUAAGGAGGAACUACGAAAUAAUUCUCAGUUGGAAACCGAUAACUAAUACAGUUCUUACGGGUUCUUGCAGUAAAACUAAUCAGUAGACCUUCACAAAGGAUCAGAACAAUUGUAUAAGAUAUGAGAAAUGAAUUUACAUUCCUAAAAAAAUUUAUGUACAUCAAAUAUAUGUGCAAAUGCCUAUUACCUAUAUUGGUUUCCGAUAAUACUUACAAACUGAAGUGUUCAUGGGACUAAAAUACGUGAAGUCGUGAACUGUACAAAAUUGGAUUUAACAGAAGAGAAACAAUGAGAGAAACUGGAGCAGUAUAGAGGUGAUACUGGUUCAACCGUUCUCUGUAUGUCUUCCAUAUAUUGCUUCAAGUUACCGCUAUAUCAGCCAGCUCAAUAAGGAAGCAAAGCAGAACUGCAGAACUUCAGCGAUUAUAUUCUGAAAGUUCAGUGGAUGCUGCACCAUCAUUCUACAACCCAGAACUCCAUACCGAGUUUUCUGACAGAUGAAGCAAAUGUGAAAUUGGGAUUUACCUCAACAGUUCUGAAACAAGUGUCGCAAAACUCAUCUGUCUGCAUAUCUAGAAAGGACCAAAGAAGGCCUAAAACUCUGUUUGACACCUCAACUGACAUCAGGUGGUGGGAGUCUCCAGAAAUUCCACGAAUUAAAGUCCUCCUGUAAUCAACAGGGGAAGGAAAGCAUGGUCAGAGGGGUUCCAACUGACUUGAGUAUUUAAAACUUGUUAGCAUGGCCGAAGAAAAGUCGCAGAACCAAUACCUGCUCAUUUGAGGAGGUUGUAGGGGGAAACAUGUCAUUUACAAGAGCAUGAAGUGAAGUAUAUGUCUUUGCGUCAACACGGCGGUUCACAACAAUCUCACCCUGCAUUCCCAAAUCAUCAGAAAAACAAAAGUGGCAUUUGGAAGAGAUACAUUACAAAUUUCAAUAUAACUGCUACGUUGUCAUGAAGGACUUGAUUACCUUGGGAUUAAUGAUGAAGAUUUUACCCAAGGGGAUUCCAACCUUGAGGUAGCUGAACUCAUCAGUGUCUCUGUUUCCAAAACCAGCAUAGAACGGGUUGCAAUCAGGAGGGAACAACGAUUUGAUAUCCUGAAAAGGAAAACAGGAAAAUUUAACAUAUACAAACAAAACAAAUGAUGCGACUGAAAUAUUACCAAAAAACAUUCUGAUACUCACACACUGAUCAGUCAAAGAACAAAUAUUAGCUAAUAAUCCCACUACAUCAGUAUAUUAUUAGUUAGCAAAAAAAUUAUCAAUAGACCACAUUGCAAAGAUAUACAAUCAAGACAAAUCUUAUGGAACAAAUUAUAGACCAUCAGGAAUAUGGUAAAAGAUACGUAGGAAGAUACAAGUCUAUGUCACAAAUGGAGAGGCAGAAAGUAAGGAACCUCUAAGCAUGCAAUCUUGAAUUCAUGAGGAGCCCUCCGAAUAACUGUGAUAAACAGAGCAAGAGUCAGUUCAAGCAUUAUAAAAUUAGGAAGGAUUCAGUGACAAGUACUAUGAUGUGGCGUAUGUCCAUUGAGGCUACUUCUUAGUAUACGGAACACCAGUAUUUUGCUUUGUUGGCAUUUAAUUGUUUCUCUCAAUUAACACAUUAUUGAACAAGAAAAGAACAUGCUCCAACACUCUAUAAAGCAGUUCACCACUUCAGCUCUAUCAUGAAAGCAAAUGUAAAAAUGGCCAUUCGAACACGCACAAAAGACACAUAUCUAUGAAAGUUAAGUUCUAGUAAAAUGGGCGCAUACACAAAAACUCACCUUCCCGAAAAAGAGAAGGAAAAAGUCCAUCAGGAGAAAUAACAACAGGCCCAUCAGGUAAAGCCUUCCCAUCCUGUACAUAUGGAAACAAAGAUAAAAAUAAAAUGAUAGUUUCUUUAUUUAGAAAAAGAAUGCAGACAUUUGAAGUAUUUAGCAUGAACAAAGUACCGACCUGCUUAAGGUUAAACAGAAAUUGUCGCGUCUGAGAGGACUGAGAAAUAGCACGUGCACUCAAAAAAAGUAAUUCAUAUCCAUUUUCCUGCAUCAUAUUAAAAAUAAUAAUUAGCUCUCUGAAAGAUUAGGCCCCGUGAGUAGUAAAAUAUAAAAAGCAUAUAAUAUUUGCAGGAGGCAAUGGUACCAUGUGAUGAGACAAAAACAAACCUUAAUGGCUGAAAACAAAUGUGUGACACCUGUUUGUGACCAAUCUACACCAACCAAGGGCAUGAACUGACCUAGAACGUCUGAUCUGUAAUAUGAUGCAAUUCAAGCAGAUCAGGCAAAUAAAAUAAAGUUCCCAUUUUGGUUCAAGAAAACCUCUUGUUUUCAUACAUUUAUCUUGUCAACCAUUUUAGAACAUACCCUUGAUACCAUUUAUCUAAUCUGAAAUAUCUAGUUUACUUCAUACUUUUUGCAAGAUGUAGGACAAAACAUGAGCUCAAGGAAUUCUCGAAAAUAAAGUAUUAGAAAAAAAAGGUUGCUAAAUAAUAGCCUUACUUUGUGAUUGUCCCAUCCACAUCUGAGAUCACUAUACGGGUAUUCCAUUUCCAAAGAUAAAUUCUGGCAUCAACCUGUAGUGAACCGAAAAUGAUAAGAAAGCAUAGUAAGUACGUCUUGAAGUACGUAUAUCUGGAACACAUAAGACGACAAACAAAUAAUGUAAAAAAAAUAAUUAAUUGUCACCAAGACUGACAACUCAGGAAUAUAUUACCUGCUGAUUUCCUAGCAUUGCAGUAGAGAACGUGAACGUUACUGUAUUCCUCCCUUCAUUUAGAUUUAAGGAUGCCAACUGCUCAGAUGUUGGAGAGGUUGCCCUUUCUGUUUUCUUCAUCCCCUUUGGUGUACGCACAGAGUCAAUACUAUCCACACCAACCGCGCUUUCUGCAGCAUUCUCAACUUCAGGACUUCCACAAUCAUUCAGAUUUGGUUGCAGAGCCUUCUGGGAAUUUGGAUUUGGUUGCAGAGCCUUCUGGGAAUUUGUUCUCCUGAAACGGAAAGGCCAGAGUUUCCAUCUUCCACUAGGGGUAACACUUGCCUCUGAGGGAUCUCCUGUAAUGUUUUUUCUCAACUUGGUCAACAGGUAUCAUGCAUCUAGGCCCUUAAACAAUGGAUACAAUUAUAAAACAAUAAAAGCAGCUACAUCCUAAGGAAUAUAAUUGCCUUUGAUUCUGAUAACAAGCAGCUAUGACAUUGGAAUUUACAUAACAUUGCAAUCCAGGCAAUAAGUCUAACUAAGAAGAAAAUGGACUAUUAUCAGUUAUUAAAAACCAGAUUCCACGGACAGUCAUUUUACUCCGACAUGGAAUAUAUCAUUCUGUAAACACUAGUGGAAAAACAUACAUGUGUAGUCUAUUUCAGCAUAAAACACACAAACACAUAUGCACACACAACAUCAAUUCAGGGCAUGAAAAUUCAGAAAAUUAGCACAUCAUACAAGGUUAUAUCCAAGUGUUACCUAGUGCAGGACUGCCGGGAACAUCUUUGAGCUCCGCUAGCUCCGCUGUAUCCUCAGCAUUCUCAGUGUCUAGCUUUACCAGAGGUGACUGUUGAUCUUUGUCCAACUUUACACAGCUCAGAUCAUCUCUAUUUUGCUGUAUCCACUUCAAGGUUUUAGCUUCUGAGUCCAGCGAAUGGCUCAAAGGACAAUCAAGAUCCAGUGCACUCAAAUUAUCGGCCUGAUGCCACAUAAUGGGCAAUGAUUCCACCAGCCUCCCAACUUCCUUAUCAGCAGCCCUAUGAUUUCUAGGGAUGUCGACUGUAGUUGAUGCUGCGUUAAGUUUUCCGAUAACUUUCUCAAAACCAGUUGAGGGGAUUUCUUGAGUACACUUUUCUGGAGAUGAAGAUGACUCAUAACUUGUACUGACUGCUGACCCACUCAAUUCUUUACUGCCAUCCGGACUACACAAGACACUAAUUUCUCCAUCUACACAAUGUGAAGAAGUUGACUCUGCGCAUUGAACCUUAGUGGUGUUGAGUUCAUCAGAGUCACUGAAAAGAAAUUGUUCUUCUUCUAGUCUUGCCAGUGGCACCACACUUGCGGCUUCAGUGAUUUCAGAACCACUAAUGUACCCAGAAGAUGUUUGGACUUCACAUGAGAUAUCUUCACCUUUAAAUUCUUUCUUAUCAUGAAGUUUACGGUCAGAGUUGCUUAACCUAGAAAGGAUAUGUGACUCAAUCUCAACUGAAUCGGGCAAUGCACUAUUAUGGACCAUUUGACUACAGUCCUCUGCAGCUUUAUCUGGCUCCCUAAGGUCCCCAUUACGGUUACCCGUGCAAGAAUGACGAUCUGUUUCAGGAGUCUCCAAUGGUUGCACCUUUAAGGCAAUAUCUUCAACAAACUGCUCAGUAACUGCAUCCUGAUCAAGAACACACAUACUUGGUCUCAACCAAUGAAAAAUAAAAUUCUAGUGUAUAAUAUAAAAGAACAUUAGUCAAGGGGUAAUUUCUAAUUAAAUUAUAUUUCCUCAUAUUCAACACAUAUUUGUUGCUAAAUAAGUCAUAAGAAACAUGACAUCCACACAUUCCAAACUAGUUUUAAUAACCCUUAUGUACCGUUGCAAGGGAUUCCAAGAGAGAAAUUACCUUAGAGAGCAGUUCAGUUCUGGCAUGAACUGCUUUGGCGUGAACAUGAAUGCUUCCACUGUCUCCUCUAGUAAUGUAAAGCUUUUCAUGAGUUUGUUUGCUGGAACCAUCUAUUCCCACUACUGAGCUCUCUGAUGAUUCACAGUAUAUAAAGGAUUUAUCUUUAUCUAUUUUAACAUCCUUCUGGGAAACGCCACAGCCAGCUCGUACAACACCUUUGUCAUCACUAACCUGUCCAACAAAAUGCUUGCCAGGAAAUGCUUCCCCCUCUACUGAGUGUGGACUUGAACCACCCGAACCUGUGAUAUUGGAUACAAGCACCUUCACAUUGCCAUCAUUUUCAGUUACUCCAGACUCAUCCAAUUCUCUGCAUACUCUAGACACUAUACCCGAGGAGUUUAAACAUGAAAUUAGACUAGCUUCCUCCACAUAACUAGGUGAUUUGUCAAAGCCAGACAGAGGAGCAUUGCCUAUCUGGGCAUUGCAGAAGGCGGUCGCCCCCCGCAAAGCACAAUCAGGUAGAGAUGAGCACACUCGGCGGUGCUCGGAACUAAUCUGCAUAUCUUCAUCGACUCCACUCUCCAAUAUAUCAGGACAAGAAAGACGAGAACUACCCUCUUUCCUAGCUUUCUUGGUGGCAAGACUAGUGGACCAUUUCACCUCCAAAAGGUUGGCUGCAAACUCAGCACGCUCCAAAGAAUCCGCCCUUCGAACUGUGCUAUCAUCACCCUCUGCCUCCUCUUUAACCAUCAUUCUCUCUUUCAUUGACCUGCUUCCAAAUAUCCCAAAUAUCCGUGACUUCCGGGAAUUAGUCCUGGACAUUACCUUCCCAUUGCACUUAUCUUUCUGAUCAACAAUCAAACUUUCAGCAUCAUAAUUGCAACUUUUGGACUUCAAUGGCUGCCUCUUUUCUCGAGAUUGCUCAUCCGUCUCAUCACUGGAAGACGAGGAAGGAAACAACACAGAUUCCCCUUCCUUUGCAUCAACCUCCCUAAGGAAGUAAGCCUCCCCUUUAUUAUCCAAAUACAUGUGGAAACUAGCUUCCUCUCCAUUUACACAAAUGUUCACCACCUUCUCCUUGGACUUCAAAACCCCUUGAAAUUUCCCAAACCGAACAUUCCAUGCCGAAGACUUGGAGCUCCCAUCUUCUUGUUGAACUACUAUAAUAUCCACAGCUCCACCAAAAGGGUGAAAAGGCCCCGAGACGUUGUAUACCCCCCUCGAGAUGUAACUCCCUAACCUCCCAACCGCAUACAUCCUCUCCUCUCUGAUAUCUCAAACCACCCAAUUCCCAAAAUCUCGAAACUCAAUCAUAAUUUGCAAAGCCUGUUGAUUUCCUCAAGAAAUCUGCAGGCUUGUUUCCUCAAAGCAACAAACUUUAAUAAAAGCCAACACCAAAACUACAUCAAAAUUAAAUCUUUGAGACCACCCAGAUGACCAAUCCGCCAGACUACAUUAUAAUUCAACAACCCAAAUGAUCAAAACCCAUAAAUUAACCGUCUUUAGCUCAAAAAAAUCAUUGCAUGAAUCAGAAACUAUCAAUAGCCCGCUCAAUGAUCUCAACCCUUAUAUUCAAAACAAAGAAAACAAACCAAGAAAGCAAGCAUUAAUCUAGAUACCAAAUCCAAAGCCUCUUAAAAAUAAGUUGUCUCUGAUCAGAAACACUACCAAAGACGGAACCCAAUUAAAGAAAGGUGUUGAUAAGCAACAGGGAAGACAUUAGCGGUUGGCUGGUGCAGCAUAUUCGGUUCUUAUUUAUUCGAAUGUACCGUCGAACUAUUCCUCAUUAAAAUUCCAACCAUAAUUUUUAGACAAAGACUAAAACAUAAACAACACAAUGAUCCAUGCGUCUGAGAUAUACCAAAGUACGAAACUGACCUGAAUUGGAAGGGAGGUACGAGAAGGAAGAAAGAAAGAAACGGGGUUGGAGGCCCUACAGAGAUAAAGAUCGUAAGUUUUAACUUGGGUUUGUUUUCUUCAAAAUCUCAAAUAGGAACACGUUGGCAGUGCAUCUCUGUUUUGGAAGUGGCAAUAUAGUUAGGUGGAGGUUUGAACUAUGACGCUUUUCUUUAUUACGUCAUUCUUUGUUUUGCCGCCAUGUGGGUCGUCUCAGCAGCAUAGAUUAGAUCCUUCUGGAUCAUUAUUAUAGAGAACCAGGGGAGCUGUACACGACCCCUACAUGGGAAAGAGGAAGCUUUACGAGAACAUGAACAUGCUUAGUUUCUAAAGAUGGAUUCAAUCAUUGAAAUAAUUCUCGGCAUGUUUUCAUGUUUUUGUUGUUCUUAGGUGUAAUAAUAUUGAAUGUUUUAUUAUUGGAAUUGAAAUUUCGUGAUGAAAUUUAUACCGUAUUUUAUAAGCAUGUAAGUGACUUCUAAAAUUGUAAACGAAAUGAUAAAAAAAUAAUUUAAAAUACGUCAUUACGCUUAUUAAUAUCUUCACGUAGUUUUGUAUAAAUGAGUAUGUAUUCGUGGUUAAAAAGUAGUUUAGAAAUAUGACCAGUUGGUCAUCCCUCAACCAUGGUGAGGUGUGUACGUAAGCUGUGUUUAUGACCGGAUAUUUGAGUUGUGCUACUUCCGAUACUAUGAUGCUCUAUGAUCAACAAGCCAAGUCAAUGUUGUGUUGUAACUAUAUGCUAUUUUAGUUACUUGGAAAUCCAAAAGACGAUAAGAUGAGCAACUUUAUCUAUAGGUAUAUGUAUGUAGGGAUACUCAAACUUUGUAACUUGAAUGUUCUGGUGCUGAUUAGAUUUGAAUCCAUCAUGUCCACUGUGUUGCAGCCUAACUGGUAGAGUUGUGUAUUCUUCUAUAUAAACUUUUGUUCGGCUCAUUUGGUUUGGGGAGAUUAGUCCAGGCCUGUUUUGAUUUUGCACCACAGGCCCAACUCUGGUUUCCCGUUUGAUUUAUUCAGUAUUAGACCGAAUUGAUUAGUCCAAGUACAUACACAAAGUUUAGCAAAUCUUCCCAGUCCUGUCUGUAAUAUAUAUCAAAAGAAACAAAAAGACUAUAAAGCAUUUUGUGUUUUACAUGAGGUUUAAUCAUGAUUAAAAUGAUAGCUUAUUAGCUCUCCUUGAGCCCAACAACAAAAGCUUUUGUGGUGUCUUCCUUGGUGAUUGGGAGAACGAAUCAUGUACACUUGUAGUGGUCAAUUGCAAUGCUUUUGAUUGGGAGCUUAUAUCAGAUUAGCACUAAUCUCAGAGAGCGCAUAACAAAACCAACGAGCUUGUGUCCUAGUGUGCACUCACGAUAGUGUUGUAAACAAAGGGUUUUUGUUGUGGUGUUCUUUUCCUUUUUAUUUUCUUUUUUGGUAUACCUAAAAUGAUUAAAAGGAACAGAAGGACAGCAUUUUCAUGUGGAUCUUGAUUUUGUAGGAUUGUGAAUUGUGAAUGUCGUGAAAUCAUUAUAAUUCAAUUUGGACGUUUGCACUGUACUCUUCUUAAACCGUGCAAGCAAAUUCAAUUCGAAAAAUAAAAUUGGAAUGAAAUGAUAGUCGGAAUCAGUUGAACGGCAUCCGUUUUGACUAACCUUUUUAAGACUACUUAGACAUACAUGUAAAAUAAAGUAAGAAAAUGAAGAGAAAUGAACUACAUAUGAAAAAUACGAGAUCGAAUACAUUAUGCAAUUCUAGAUGAUGUUCAUAAACUCAUAAAGACAAUCCUUAAAAACAAUUAGCCAUCAUAUCUUAACCAAACUAUCAUGGUUCAAUUACAGACUACAGCACCUGAUGCACUUCAUCAUGUCUUUGAUGUGUCAAACUAGACCGAGUACCUUCUGCAUUAUUGAACUUAUCUAAGUUAUCUUUUUAUGAUCAUUGUACUUAUGAUCACUUUCUUGUGUUUCAGAUCCACGAAGACCAUUGCAUCGAGUCCAAUUGGUACCAUCCUCCUUUUCAUAUCAUCAUCCCCUACACACUUCUUGUUUCACAUGAACACUUCCAUUUUAAUAAAAAAAGGGGUCCGUCUUCUUUCUCAUGCACUGCCUCUUUUUGUGGGGACUAGAUAUUGCUGGUGCUAAAGUUCAUUUGUUUCUUUUAAUUUGAUCCCUCGUGUAUUUACUUUAGUGUGCGAUGAUUUUAUACUCAUACGAAUGUAUGGUUGAUGAUUGUAUUGGUUUUCCAAAACUUUGGAUGAUGGAAAAUCUUGAUGGGAAUCGCAAACACAAUCCCGUUUGUACUUGAAAGAAAUGAUCACUUGCCACAUGAGUUCAUUCUUUUUCUGGAAGUUCUUAACAUGCAGCAGCUGCCUUUACUGAUUGUUGAGAAUGAGUUGUCCGAUGAAUUGGAUCUUCAGACAUGUCACGGGACUGGGGAUACGGUGUGGCAAUUUGGUGGGCCCACAAGGUACCACACCAUUUCCGGCACCAAGAACAAAGGGCGGGAGACAAUCACGAUCUGAUUCUAACAGAAGGAGAUACAAAAGAAAGAGUAACGCUUGAUGAUCAAUCGAUUGAAAGCUGAUUCUUCCGGCUCUUCUAAAUCUAGAUUAGUUGUGUUUUAUGGGUAUGUUAUCCUUGCCUUCGGGCUUCCAUAUAAUAAAAAAUUUUUGAAAAAUAUCAAACGAUUGAAGAAUAUACUAAAAAAAAACACUCCCAAGAGCAGUGAACUCAUGUUAUUGAGAUCCGGAUAAAAGAUCAGAGUUUCGCCCUAGGUUAGGAACGAGUUAUUAUUUGACAUAUUUUGUACUUACAUCAUCAUUUCUACCUGUUCAUCGCAUUUUCUACAAUAUAACAUUUAACAGUCACAAAAUAUUUUUGAAUGCAGUAAUCUAUUAAAAAAGUUCAUUGUAUCGAACUCAUUGAGACAUCUUCAUAUAUACAAUUUUAUAUAUAUGAAAUUCAAUUUGUAUGCAAAUUAACAUUACAACAUAAUUUACCCCAGGUUCUUUCCCGUAUCUACUACUCUAAGCAUUUGAUCUUCUCUUCUGUGGCAAUGGAAUUCUUGCAAUGAGCAAUUGCAGCUUGAAUUGCUGCUUGCAACUCUUCCAUGGUGCUAUCGUUGGGAUUAGUAGGAGGAGUAGAUGCUCCUGAAGUUGCUAGAAGAAGCCCACUAUUUGUUGGAGACGUUCUCAUUGAUGCAGGUGCUGAGAACUCUCCUCUCCUUCCUCUCAAGUGAUGCCCAUUUCUGGGGCUCAAAUUACCCGAAAACGAAUAAGGCUGCCUACUGAAAUGAACAUUCUCUUUUCUUCCUCUAAAGAACAAUAAGGGCCUGACCAUUCUCGCAUACCUCUUUAGUAUAUUACUCACAUCAAACCUCAUCUUGUUCUUCUGCUUCAUCCCCUCCUUGUCCUCCCUCUCUUCGCAAUCUUUUCGCCUUUUUGGUAACCCGAAAAUGGAAAAGGACUUGGACUUGGUUCUCCCCCUCGUCUCGCCAUUGUGGCUCUUGCCGUCUUGGAUAUUGCUGCUGCUGUUGCUCUUCUUCUUGUUGAUGAUGUUGUUGCUCUCAAUGCUGGUGCUACAGUUGUUGCUUUCCUUGGUUGGUUCUUGAUCGUUCACUAAGUCUGUAAUGGGAAGAGUGAAGCUGUCUAAGGAGUUAGUAGAGGAGCGAGGAGAGACAGGAAGGUGAGAGAGGAACUGCAAAGGAAGCAAAUGGCCAUGGAAGAAAAUGUCAUCUGCAGGAGACAAGUCGAUAGCGAAAGAAGGCGGGGUUUUGGCUUUGUUUCUGUUGUUCUUGUUACUAUGAUCAGGGAGUGAUGCGGAAGAAGAGUGAUGAAGAGAGAUUGUGAAGGAGAAUUCAUGAGAAGGAGAAGAGGAAGCUGAUGGUGGUGAGGCUGUAGCUGGUGACUGUGGCUUUUCUUGCAGCAUCUUGUUGCCUGCAGCUUUUUCUCUGGUCUUUUCAAGCAGAUGGGCGGUGUCCAUAACUCAAUCAAGGAUCAGAACCCAGUUCCUGAUUCUCUCUAUCUCACUCGCUUAUUAUAAUCAGGGUCUUUGGCUUCUGUGGUUGGGUAGAGAGAGAGAGAGAAUGGGAGAGAGAGAGAGAGAGAGAGAGAGAUAAGGGGAUGAGGAAGCAGUGGAGAAAGAGAAAGAGAGAGAGGGAGAGUACUAGCUAGCUGCAGUUGGGUUUCAAGUGUCUUCUUAUGAGAAAUAUGCCACAUGACACAUUUGCAAGCAACAAAGCUUUAUUGCCAUGCAUUAUUAAUAUUUAGAGAAAAAAGAUGGAGGAUAGAGCAAGGCUGUGGUGCCCAAUGACACUAUGGAAAAUUGGAAUGAAAUGAAAAAUUUAGCUGUAUUGAUGAUAUAGGAUGCUGGGUCCUUGUCAAAAUCUAACAGCUACUGCUACUAGGAGAGGAGAGAUGAGAUUUGGGAAAUGAGGUCACAAACAUCCAAAUUUGCUCCAAAAAGGUAGAUGGCAUUGGUGAGGCAAGGACUUGGUUUUUGGGUAUGAGUCUUUGUAUUUAGUUGUUUUGCCAGGAGGGUAAGGGUCCCCAAAGACCAAGCUAGGUCAUGUUCACGUACACAUUGAACCCAUAAAUCAAAUCAACGAAGGAAUCUUUGAAUUUUCCUUUUUAUUAUUAUCCCAUUACACAGCAGCCUCCACUUAUUUUUUUGCUCCUCCCUAAAUCUAUCAUCUAUUUUAUUUCUAUGUGCACCCAAACCAGAGAAACCACAGCAGGCAAGGUGUUGUUGUUCAUGGGGUUUAUAGUUUAUCUAAGCCAGAAUGGGGCAAACCUGUAUCGUGGGAUACGAGGUAAGAUGUCACUUAUGGAAGUUGAGCUUCAACAAGUAGAGUUUUGAUCGAGGAGAUAAGAUUUCAAACCAAGCAAUGCGGAUAGAUUUCUUUCAUCUUGACCAUCUUGAUUCUCAACCUCACGGGCUCAUCUCUCUGUCUUAGUUGUCUAUUUCCAGCAAAGAUUUUUAUUCUAAAUCUGUGUAGAACAAUCUAAAACAAGUCGAUUUUUCACGGACCACUUAGACACGCAAUCUUUUUCUAUACUACAAAUUGCAAAAGUGGUUGCGAGAAAAAUACCGUAUACAUUGUCUGUAGAAUUAAAUUUUCCAUGUACGCGUACUGUCGAGAAUUAAAUGCAAAUGAUUGAUAGUUAAAUGUCAGAGAAAGGAGGUAGGGGACCUAUAUAGAUAUGAACCUAUAGAUAGUCUGUCUUCAAAGGAUCAUUAACCAUGAUACCUGGGGACCAACACAGAAGAGUUCAACACAUCAAUCACACUAAACAGAAGUGAAGUGAAGCAAGAGAAAAAUCAUAGGUUCUAUCCUACUCCUAGUGAUGAUCCGGUUAGAACAUACAGAAGAGUCGUAGGGGAAUGAACAGAACACAGAGCACAGAACACAGAACACAGAACACAAUACACAAUACACAAUACACAGAACACAGAUAACAGAAUGACAACGAAACAGUAGCGAUGAACAAAAUUUUGAAGUUAGGUGCAGAUGGUAGACCCUUACACACGUGCACACAGUGGUCCUUGAUCAACAUCUAUAUUAGAGGAAUUUUGUUCACAUUGUUAAGGUCGACAUCACAAUCAUGCAAGCAUUAUUGUGGUUGCGACUGACUCAUUCUCAUCACUUAACCAUUCAAAAAUCUUAUUCUAAUUUCUCAGAAGGAUAAGAGCAGAAGAAACAGCAACAUGGAAACAUGGCAUAAAACAAAGAUUUCGCACUCAGAGACCAUAUGCAGAUCUUACGAAAGUUUCCCACUUUAUGCUUUUGCCGCUAGCCACUCAUAUUCUGAUUCAAUCUUCCAAGACAAGCUAACAGGAACACUACCUAAGAAAGAUGAAGAGGUAACAAACAGAAGCCAGCUUGUCAGGGUUUGUGAAUGGUUUCUAUUUGAUCAGAGGCCCUAAAAACAAUACAGAAGAGUUUUCUUUCCAGUAUAAUCAACUACGAGCUGAAGAUGCCAUAUCGCCAUUACCAAAUACUUCAGGUCGCGAUUUCUCCUAUCCCCAACAUGAUUUUCAAUACAAUAAGGCAAUAAUACCAGGUGAAAGGCACACCUAUACUACAGACGGAAUUCAACAGGUAACUAACCUAAAAAAGGCUAUAGUUCUAAUCUGAAAAAGAAAAAAAAAGUUACUAUUGUAAAAGAAAAAGUUUAGUCAGAAAACUAGCAAAGUUCAGAUGUAACUUUACUUCCUUCAAAUUCAUAUUUGGAGCAAGCCUUGAUCAUAGGAUAACAAGUGAAACUUUUAGAAAAAAGAAAUAUAGAUAAAGGUACAACAUCAAUUCAAUAGCACACAGCCAAGUCAAAUAAUGGCAACUGACACCCUUUUCUUUCAUUUAAAACUUACAACUACAGCAACCAUUUUACAUUUCAUUAUGAGUGGCAUGAAUAAUUGUAGCAAAUAGAUAAAUCAGUCAACUCUGCAGCAAGGGAACUGAAGUACUAGAUUCUCACAAAAGAGAAAAAAGACAUCCAAAUAAAGAAAAGGAAAAUAAAUAGAAUUAAAAAUAAAUGUCAAUCUUUCUAUUAAAGAGUUAUCUUCCCUAAUUGUGCAGGAAGGAUAACUACUAGAACAAAUUCAUACAGUAAAGCUGACAAAAGAGGGAAUUUUUUUCCUAAUGUGUAAUGAAUCUGUCUUGGGUCUCAUCAAUUUCACCUAUAUUAUAAUAUUACACUGAAGCUUGCUGUCAUGCAUUGUUAGCUCUGUAAAAUAGAAGGGUAUCAAUCCAGAGAAAAAAUUUACCUCCAACGCAUUGUCAUGAACAAGCAAGUUCAUCCAGCCUCUUCACAACCCAUUAUAAGGGAAAGCAGUCACUGUUUACGUCACUCUGAAGUCAGAAAACAGAUCUUAAAGAAAGCUCUAACUGGAAUCUUCUGACUUGAAACAUUAAAAAAUGAGAGAGGUCCACAUAGGUUCCUAAGUUGGGUGCCCAAAUCGAUCUUGCUGUGUAAAUUCCCAUGAGAAGUUGAAGGGAACUAGUAUCAAGAGAAGCACCACGUUCCUACUCAUGAACAACUUCCAAGUAAUUGUUAGUGCUCUCAAACUGCAAAUAAAGGUGAAGACGGUUGGCUAAUCACUAUCGCUGUCACGUCGAUCUGCAAGAAACAUGAGACAGAUGAGUUGAAGGGCAUUUUCUCUUUGAUUAAGAUAAGAAAACAAAACCAAAUAAAAACAAAUAACCAUAAAAAGAAUAUAAGAUACGGGGAAGGUUGUCAUACUUCCUGAUGGUCUUUUCCCUUCCAUAGCCUCUCUCUUCUCUUGACAACUAGUGCAAAGGAAGGGGCCAUCCCAAGGUCGCAAUUUUUCUGGGUUAGAGGUUGAGCCGGAAUGUAUUGAAAUACCCUCUCCUGGUUUGAUUUCAACUUGACAAACAGCACACAUAAAGAGCUUAAACAUGUUGCAGAGUGGGUACUUUGAAUCUAACCUGUAUUCACAAAAAUGAUCUAGUCAAAAUCCAGCAAACCUGCAGAAACACCCACUAUACAAAGUGCCACGAGUAAUGAAACAACUCCAUUAAACACAGUUCCAUAGCUACCAAAUAAAUUACAUACAACGAUACAAAUGAAGUAAAGGAAAGCACAUAGAAACUUGCCACUUGAUGCCUGGUCCACAAAUAAAUAAAAGAAGUACCACAAUAAAGAUGGAAAUUUAAGCACAAACCUUUCGGAAAGAGAAGCAGAACCUUCCUCAUAUAUUUCCUCCACCGUGUCUGGUUCAAUAUAUUCUUGUUCAACACUAGAAGAUGAUUCACAAGGCUUUUUCUUAAACAUGGACUUAAAAACUCCUUUUCCUCCUUGCCUCUUUGGUUGCGCCAAUGGAGCUGCUGGCUUCUCCUGUGGUAAAAUGUCAAUCACAAUACAGGUUGUAUCAUCCCGCAGUCCCUUUGCCCCAACAGCAUCCUGGAAUCAGAAUAUAAAAUCUGUAAGACAUAGGUCGAUGCAAGAGAACUAACCGCAAGAGUGCUGGCAAAGCAUCUAUAUUUGUCUAGGUCAAGUACUAUAUCACACAUAAGAUAACAAGAGCAAACUGAAAUUUACAAAUAUUUCUGUACCUUGACUAUUUGGGCAGCUGCAGCAUCUGGAGGCAUCCCACGACAACAGUCAAGAGCUUCUUCUGCAGACAGAGCAUCCCAUACACCAUCACUUGAUAUGAUCAGCCUACCACCAGCAGUAGACAACUGUAGAAAAAACAAUAAGGAUAAAUAAAUAUCCACAUUGCCCUUUAAAAUAAUUUCAACUGAGAGGUAAAUAUUUCCAAUAGUCAUGAUAGAAGAAUUAAUAUUUGUUAAAUCUUAGAAAGAUCAGAAAAGGAUACAUGGAUAUGGAAUCUGAAACAUAGACACUGAAUAUUGGAAAAUGGAUGGAGAUAGAAAAACACCUUCAUUUGCUUUACAUAAGGAACAGGAACAAUGAACUCUCCCACAUCCAUAUCACCAAUGGAUCUCGAAAGGCACAAGCCACCAGGCCAACACCUCAAUGGACCAAUCUACAUGAAAUAAAUGUAAUCAUUAAAUGGUUUGUAUAACCUUCUAAUUGGAAAAUGCACUGUGAAAAAUACAAAUCUUACGACGGUGAAAAAAAAAUUACCUCUGCCCCGCCGCCAGUAUUAAGCCUACCAACCUCACCACCACUUGAAGUGAUACGCAGUCUCCUGUUCAAGUUUAGUUAAAAUACAGAUCGGUGUUAAUGAUGAUAUCAAUUGAUAACAGUCAGGAAAACGCUAUUAAAAAAAAGCUUACUCGUCCUCGCUGCAUUCAAGCCUAUGAUCUGCUGAUAAAUAAUAAACUCCACCUUCGGCAGGUUCAACAAUGCAACGAGAAUCACCAACGGAUGCAACAGAUAUUACCCAUCCCUCUAUAAUUACAAAGGUGACAGUGGUUCCUGACGUUUGAGCUGAAAAUGGCAGUAACAAUGUAUAUAAAUAUUAUGCACUCAGGAACCAGAACCAAUAACUUUUGGCUCUUAUUAGAUGGCAUACAAUGGUUAAAAUUAAAAUCCAGUUUUAUCAACUCUCCAAACAAACCCACAUAUAGACAAUUGGGCAGAAAUUGUAUUACAAGAGAAAAAAAUGACAACCAGGAAAAGCUUAAGGUACAAUGAGGCAUAUCUUUUAUUCUCAUCAAGAUCAGUAGUGGAAUAACUACCUUUCUCUUGGAACUCUUUGUCUGUCUUGACAAAGCCUGCUACCAAUGACCUUGGCAAAGCUGCAAUCCAUUCAUCUCUGUUAAGAUCUGAAGGAAUAGCAGCUAAAAUAUUGCUCAGAAGAUUUUCCUUGGAGUAUAUAGCGGCUGCAGACCCGUUAUGCCCAUCAAAUAGCUGCAAGACAUCGGCUAGUAAGAAUAAUCUAAAGAAAUUACUUGAGCAAUUUGCUUCAAUAAUGGUUUCAGUAGGCUGGUAAAAAUUGAUAUAGCAACACAUAAGACCUCCAAAAAUUGGAUAAAAAGAAGAGAAAAACAAUAAAAUCAUAUACAGCCUAGUGAGAAGAUCCAUCAUAAUCCUUGAAAUGGCUUAGAAUUGGCUAUUUAGGGUAUGAACUACCUAUCAAUUACAUAUCCAAUGCUUGUAAAAUUAUGCAAAUAGCGAAAGGAUGUCAAAAAACAUCCACCAAAACUAGGCGAUUCUAGGCAUUUAUCCCCUCGAUAAUCCAUUACAAGCAAAAUACAAAUGAGAGAAAGGAAAAUAAAAGUAUACCGCAAAAACUGAAUAGGUAGAAACUCCAUCCCCCACAACUCUUUGACAAUCCGUCUUCACCAUAGUGAAAUCCUCCCCUUUCUUGCUCUGACUAGCCUGACCAUAUAUAAUCUCGGGCCUCUCAAUCUUCUCAUUGGCCAAUUCUCGCUUCAGCAGCACCGAAAGCGGGACCGUCUGAUGAUUAUCACUCCUGUUGUUGGACAUCGUUUCACACUCCUAAUAAAAACACAGUCUCUCCUCCCAACUCUAAUACUCCAUGCCACAAUUCUCAAUCCAAAUCCUGCAAAAACAAACACAAAUAACACCGUAAUCAAAACGCACCGUUUCCUCCUUCCAAAUCUAAUCUCUCCUCCCACAAACUCCCAAAAAUAAUUAAAGAGAUCUUUAAACGAAACGAAUGAGCGAUAUUCUAACAAUUAAAAAUCACACCGGAAACAAAUGAACAGCAAUAAGCAAUCGUAAUGCGGAUGUUAAUUAACCGGAAUCGGAGAGAUGAAAAGAGAAAUUACUGUGUAGGGAGAGAGGGAACGAAAGCAGAAGAGAGCAACGGCGGUUUAGGCGCGAAGAGGAAGAAAGUGCGGCAUGGCGAACACGACGAUUAUUUGGUCUGAUCGAGAAACGCGGAUCCCGGCGCUCUGCGAAAAUUCCAUUCCAUUCUUUCUACAAAGAAAAUAGAGAGAGAGAGAGAGAGAGAGAGCGAAUAUGAAAAGCGCAAAUGAAGCUGUUCUUCUCCUUUUCUUUCUUUAAAAAUAAAACUAAAAUUACGGGAAACAAAACUCACUGGCGCUGGCGUGGCAGCGAAACGUAACGUUUUUGGGGGAUUCGGCGCUGCCCCUACGCCAGCCGUUUAGAGUUUAGACACGGUUUUCUGGAGCCGUUUGACUUGUGUGAUGCGCAAGAGUCAAGCGAUGACUUGGUAGAUCUCCCUAAUGCGGCCCACAAAGGGGAAGGUGGGGCCCACUGGACCUGCUUGAUUGAUGUGGAAUCUGAGGUGGUCGGUCAAUUAAGACAAAUCAGGGAGGUUAAACUAAUUAAUAAGAUGAUGAAUUGUCGGGUUUUCCAUUUGGAUUCUAAUUAUUGGCUGGCGCCGGUUAUUUGAGGGAAGCAACGAGGAGGCCUCGAUGUAGCGAAUCUCGUCCCACUCACACUAUAUCGAGAUUAUUAUUUUUUUACAUACUUACAUAGUAAACGUUUGCGCAUUGUUGUUGUCAUAAAUAAUCAGAAGGACCACGUUUCCUUUUUAUUUUCCUUUAUUAUAUUCAGAAAAAUAUUAUGUUUACUUUACAUUAAAAAGAAAUUACAACGAAAAACCUCUUAGACGACCAAUACAAGAAGAAUAAGAAGAGUCAUUUGAGUUUAGGGAGGAAUCCUAUCAAACCAACACAUCGGAGUAUAAAGAGAGUGGCCAACGCAGAAAAUGAACAUAUUUUUGUUCAGAAUAACUACAUUUCAUGAAACAAAAUAGACCUAUGAUCUUUUAACUCUGUCACAUUUCUUCACAUAAAACAAAAACACAAAAUUGUCCUACUACUAACUCAACUGUCUAAGGGUAGCCCUGCUAGCUCUUUUUUAUUUGAGAAAAAAAAAAAACUAACCACAAUGUUGGUCAUGUCUUCGUCACACUGAGAUCAUGAAUUCAAGAUAAUAAUUACAUCCUUUAUAUGUCGUCUAGUUGGAAUAUCUAGAGUAUGAUUAACAUUACGAUAAGGGAGGGGUUUUGGGCCUGGAGCCCAGAGGGCCCAACUUCUGGUUCCAACCUACCCCUUGACCUCCACCUGGAGUGUCCGAAAUUCUCGGCGCCAGUUUAUCUCCAAUCCAGUGUCCUUGUGCAGCAAAUGCGCGUGAAUUAUUGCCUUAUUAGGUAGGAGCGUGUAGUCACACAAAUGGAAAGGCGCGUCUGUGAGAAUGGAGGAAAGACUAUCCGCGUGAAAUAAGUCAUAAACGGCUCGACCGGCUCGUAGAUCAACCGGNNNNNNNNNNNNNNNNNNNNNNNNNNNNNNNNNNNNNNNNNNNNNNNNNNNNNNNNNNNNNNNNNNNNNNNNNNNNNNNNNNNNNNNNNNNNNNNNNNNNNNNNNNNNNNNNNNNNNNNNNNNNNNNNNNNNNNNNNNNNNNNNNNNNNNNNNNNNNNNNNNNNNNNNNNNNNNNNNNNNNNNNNNNNNNNNNNNNNNNNNNNNNNNNNNNNNNNNNNNNNNNNNNNNNNNNNNNNNNNNNNNNNNNNNNNNNNNNNNNNNNNNNNNNNNNNNNNNNNNNNNNNNNNNNNNNNNNNNNNNNNNNNNNNNNNNNNNNNNNNNNNNNNNNNNNNNNNNNNNNNNNNNNNNNNNNNNNNNNNNNNNNNNNNNNNNNNNNNNNNNNNNNNNNNNNNNNNNNNNNNNNNNNNNNNNNNNNNNNNNNNNNNNNNNNNNNNNNNNNNNNNNNNNNNNNNNNNNNNNNNNNNNNNNNNNNNNNNNNNNNNNNNNNNNNNNNNNNNNNNNNNNNNNNNNNNNNNNNNNNNNNNNNNNNNNNNNNNNNNNNNNNNNNNNNNNNNNNNNNNNNNNNNNNNNNNNNNNNNNNNNNNNNNNNNNNNNNNNNNNNNNNNNNNNNNNNNNNNNNNNNNNNNNNNNNNNNNNNNNNNNNNNNNNNNNNNNNNNNNNNNNNNNNNNNNNNNNNNNNNNNNNNNNNNNNNNNNNNNNNNNNNNNNNNNNNNNNNNNNNNNNNNNNNNNNNNNNNNNNNNNNNNAAAAAAAUAACUCGAAUGUUAGUCAAUUGCUUCAUAUACUGAAUGCGUUUGCCAUGGCUAGUUUGAGGCUCUGAAAGGCACAUGCCCAUAAGAAGUUGUCUCAUCACUCACAGAUGGAUAUAUAUUCAAAUAUUCAAUCCAUUCUUACACUUACAUGCCAAACAACAUGGCAAUGUAGCUGUCUUUCUCCAUCAAUAUCUGCAUAGAUACAAGUUUUAUAUAUAAAUCGAAGGCGAAAGAUAAGAAGAGCUGCCAUCCAUUCAAAUUUUCUCAAAGGUUCAUACAUAUAUAUCUUCAAAGAGACAACAGUAGACAUUUCAAUAUAAUUGGAUGUUGAUUGGAGAUGAUUGCUCUAUGUCUCUCCUAAAACUAGAAAUCUACACAGAACAUGAAUGUUAAAACUUCCUACUUCUCUUGCAGCAGAUAAAGGGUCAUUCACUACAGCAAAAUGGAUAUAAAGGCUAUCCCAAAAGUUUUUUACCUGCAAAAGAAAAGAAGGGUGUUGUGAUGUGAGGAAGGAUUCGAUUCAGAGAAUUAAAGAUCUGAGAAUAAUGUAAUGGCUUCAAUGUCUUUGAGAUAAAACUUUCUUAAAAAGCUGUGAUUUACAAGACAAAUAGGCCGAUUUUGGAUUAUGAAGACCAUAAGUUGUUAGUUACAUGAAGGGGGAAGUGACUUUGUACACUUGCAUGCCAGUAUGUCAGCCAAGACAUUAGGAGCCACAUGGUUUGUAUACAAACAGAUAGAUGCAUGCCCCUGUGCCCUCACUUGUGGCCUUUUGUGUAUAUAUGCAAGUUGCUUGAUUUAUAUAUGCAUACAGUACGUAACUACCCCCUGCAUCUGUGUUUCAAAGAAAGACUUUUCUUUUGGUUUAAGAUCAUGACAUACGCAGAUCUUCAUGGCUGAGUAAUUCUGAGACCAAAUCUGGUUCACAAGAAGCAGAUAUGCUAUAUAUUCAACAAAAAAGAGAGAAAGUUCCUCUGUUAAGAUUUAGGAGUUACUAGUUAAUUUCUGUUUGGUUUGAUUAAUUAACCUAUAUUAAUCUUAAAGCUGAGCAAAACAUGUGCUUGACAGAAUGCUAAUAGAAUGUGAUAUCCUAUCAUCUACAUAGGUCAAAUUCAUAGAAAAUGUUAUCACUGAUUUUAAAUGAUGAGGAAGGGAAUAAAUCAAAUCAGAACAUUGCUAUUUCAUUGACAGUAGAUAUGUUGACAAAGCAAUGGAUAUGAGAAGAAAUAAACAAUCGACCUCUUGAAGAAAAGAAUACCUAAUUGAUUGGACUGCGUUAGAGUUAGCAUAAUACUAUUCAGGCCUUUCUUUCCACCCUUAUAAUGUACACCUGGAAGCAGAACCAAAAAAAAAAAAAAAAAACUUAAAUGAGAUAUAAAAUUUCAAUUUUGUAGACAAAGAACAGAAUGGUCAAGAUAUCAGCAAAUACUUUCUUAAAUAGUUGGAAUAAAUGGAUCGACAGAUAUAACAUACGAGCCUGAGUUGAAAUUUUAUGAAGGGAAAAUUACUAGAGUUGUAAACCUGUUUUGGGUCAACAAACAGAAAUGAUAUUAUAAACUCAAAACAACCCGUUUCAUAAUCCACCAGUAGACUAUAUCUAUCUUGUAUUCAUGUUUUAAUGUAAACCCUUUCCAUAUCAAAAUGUGAAAAUCAAUCACCUUCAUUGUUGUAGGCUUGAUUAAUUGAAAGACCACUGCAUCCCCAUCCACCAAAUCAUGAGCUACUGCAAAUCCUUUCCACCCACCGCUUAGUCCUGUCUUCCGGGCCAAGUAAAUAGUCUCGUACUCAUUACCCUCUUCGUCUACCAAUGUCAUAAUUUCAUCUUUCUUUGAGAGAUAAUCCUUGCAGAAUUGGACUUGAAGACCCUGUUUGCAAAAAGAGAAAUUUAGACAAAAGUUUAUAAAACCCUGGCAGAAUUGAACAUAUUUACAGGCAUCAGGCUACUAGUGGAUCAAGUUGGUUCUUCCUUCAUACACAAAAUAAUACACAGAAGUUAAAGCCAACUUAUUCUAGGACAGUAGGACACACUAAUAAGGUCGGUGGAAUCAUUCUUCCAAACACAAAUUUUGUGUCACAUCUUCAGGUUAAAUGAUAACUACCACAAGACUAACUUCCAAUUAACUGAUAACUAUCACAGAGCUAAUGAUCAUCACAAUUAUAACAACCUUUCCCCUAGAAACACAGUAGGAAACUCUGAAAUCUCACAAAACCUCAACUAUAUAGUAAAUUGGUCAUCAUGGUUAAAACAUGCAACUACAUUUUUGAUAAAAAAAGAAGAAACCUUCGACUAAAUCAUAACAUAGGAAGCACAUUGCUUGGUCCUUACCAGCCAGAAUCCACCAGUGACAUGUGAUUGGAGCAUUGUUUUCACAAGGGUCGGGUAAUCAGACCCCAAAUCCGACUCCAAUUUCUCAGCUUUCGCCAUAGCAUCCGUUCUAUCUUCAUACGAAGCAUACACCCUAUUCGACAGAUCCCUAUGCUUAGAAGUAGAACCAGAAUACCUUCUCGGUAUCACCACUCGCUCAACAACAUCCUGUCGCAUCAAAAAUCACAAAACAUUGACAUUUAUUUAUUUAUUUAUUAUUAUUAUUUUUUUUGUAAUCAAGUAAUUAAGGGAAAAAUGAUGAAGACCAUUUCUUUGUAGACAGGAGCAGCAGGAAGAUUUGCGACGCGGGAGGACCUCCUCACCCCAACCAUCUGCUUCUCGGCCUUCGGCUUGGGGGUCCGCUUCAUCUGUGACAAUCAAAGACAAAGAGAACCCAAAAUGAGCUCUUCUUACACAAAACACAAAUAAAGAAAAUAGGGUUUAGGGUUUAAGGGGCUUUACAGGGGAGGGUUUAGGAGAGGAAGAGGUUUUAAGAGCAAGAGAAAGCUGAGGCAGGUUGAGCGCCUCCAUUCUCUUCUUGUUUUCCUCCAUCCUCUGCCUACGACUCUCCUCGUAUGAUACUGUCUCGGGUUUCGCCAUUGUGAGAAAUCACUGUUUCUGAAAUUUGGGUUUUGGAAACAGAGGAAGAUGAUCGAUAUAGUGAUACUGUGAUAGUGGUGGAGAUAGAAAAGAGCCUAUGCCAGUGGACCGUUGGGUUCCCACCUCAUAUGGAGUAAAUGUCGCAUCACCCGCGGGUGGCUCACGGCUCGAAAUCUGAUUGGUCAGUGGCGAUUCUUUAAUUCUUUUUUUGAAAGGAAAAAUUGGGGGAACUGGACUCCUAUCAAAUCAGCGUUAAAUCCGAUAUCUGCACUCAAGCGUUCAAAUUCAAAUUUGACAGCCCCUGUAGUAAUUAAGUAAUUAGUAAAACUUUGCUUUGAUCUAGCCAGUAACUUUGCUUUGAUCUAGCCAGUAACUUUGCUUUAAUUAGUAAACGGGUGUGUCCUGUAUCGUUUCGUAAAACUGUUUUGGUAAAACUGAAUUGUAAAAUGCAAAUGACUGAUUAAAUUACAAGUCUAUGACUCAGUUUAUAAGUUUAUAUACAGUCAAACUCUUUCUGUUUCUUUUUCUUCGAAAACAAAACAAUUAUCUGUCUGUACUCCUAUAUGAUCAUGAACGAUUUAUAAAAUAUAUAAGAAAAUAUUGAUGAGUAGUACCUUAAUACAUGAUAUUCAAACUCUAGCUCAAGUGCUUAUAUAGAAUUGACACACAUGUCAUAAGUUCUUGAUGCUCAAAUAGAUUUGAUAAUUCACAUACCAAUACUCCAGCCAUUUUCCAGAACACUAUCAAGAAGUUGAUGUUUUUUACGAGAAAAGAAAGAAUAUUAUGGAGAUUGAACGAGAAGAACACUAUCCCUCAGUUUUGUUUAUAGAAUAUAUCAAUACAAAAUUGCAAGCUCUUGAAUCUCUAAUUCAUCUCCAGAUUACCCAAGUCCCAACUAUCAAGAUCUCCCAACGUAGUCUCCAGAUUUCCCAACUUAGUCUCCAGAUUUCUCAACUUAGUUGUUAAUUCAUCUAGCCCAUAAGAGAAUUCAAUUGUAUUUAAGCAGAAAAUAUCGAAACUUUCACACCAGAUUCUCCAAGUAAUCACUAUGAUUCUGAUCGUUCAAGCAUUCGUCUCUACUUCAUGAUUCUUCAAGUAUCAAUUGAUUGAAAAGGGUCAGGAGCUUUUAAUUAACUCCAGCUGAAUGAAAUAGAUGCGAAGAGAAGAAAAGUCCCAAUCGAAGUUGUGACACAGAGAGAAAGACGAAACAAAGGGCAGAAGAGUUUCGACCGCGGUGUUGUUUUGAGGAAACAAGGAAAACGAUAAAAAGUCGUUUCUCAUUUUUAUUCAGAAUCCCUGAGUUGUAUCUUGAAAUUCAUUUUGGCUGUUUUCCGAAUCACCUCCACCAAACGCAUAUUACAUAGUUUUUAUAUUUGUAAAACAGAAAAAGGGUUUUGCGAAAUGAUACCGAACGACACCUAAGUAAUCUGUAAAACUGGGUGAAAUGGGGCAGAAAUUUAGGACGAGAUACUGCGUUUCGUAUAGGAAGGAAAGGAGGGAUUGGAUUAACCUUCAUUUUAAGCAGUGGUGUCAUUGACAUUGAUAUAACCGAUCGAUGGCUUCAUUAGAAGAUGAACCAAAAGUUAUAACACAAGUAAAUUGAUAUCUAUGAUUAUCUCUUCAUCAAGCAUCGAUGGUGCAUCCAAAUGGAUAUAUUUGAUAUUUCUAAAUGAAGUUCUAUGUUCAUGUCUCUUAAAUGGACAUUAUGGACAUCCGAAUAUGAUCGCUUCAUUGCAAAAACUACAUAUAACCUGAUAACAUUUGGUGGUUUCUGAUAUACAAAAAUCAUUAUCUAGGGACAAAUGAAGCUCAUUGCACUUGGAUAGUCCUUCACUAAACCUGCAACAAGCAAAAAGCUUGAGUGAGACUAGUUAGGAAUGAACUCAGAAAAGCUACCGCGUAAAUGAGCAAGCAAUGCAGACAACACACCAAGCCAAACUUGGCCGUUAUUGGAUCAACGAAAGACAUUAAACACAUUAAACCAUGAAUUCAUUCACUUUUGUGAUGGAAAAGCUGUAUCUUUUAUCUGCAUCCCAGUAUCUUGGCCCAUUCUUUAGAAAACACAUGCUUUCUAUAUAAACACAAGCACAGUUCUAGUUGUCUAUGUAGAAGUAAAUUGUUUCUUUUUCAUAACACCUGGGUUCAUGUUUCACAUUUCAUACAAAUACAGCACACAUGAUCCGAGCUAGAUAUACUGAAUCAUGGUAGAAUUUGAAUUUGCUAUAAGCCACUUCUAAAAUAUCUUUCCUUAAAGAGUGUCAAUGUGAACAUAUUCUUAACCAUCUUAAUCUAGAUACAUCAUAAACAUUUUACUAAUAUUCUACAUAUCUUCCUUCUUACUAAUAGUGAUCAACUGCUAUAUUAACCCAUAAACCUAUCUAAGUUUCACAGCAAAACAGACAAGGAGAUUGAUAGAGUAUCAAUAGACAUAGACUCUGCUAAACAUCUCAUAUAUAACUCAAGAAAGCAAAAAGGAAGAUUGAAUUUAGUAACAGAAAUACAAUCAUAGAUAAUAGAUUGUUAGUUAAACAAAAGAGAGCAAGAAGUAAAUUUAACUACUACAAGAGUUAACCAGCGUAACAUCUAAAAUUACCUCAACUGACCUAACCUAUGAGUCAAGUAACUUUUUGCACUCUUUAAGAGCUUUCCACCCUUGUGAUGUACACCUGAAAUAAUAACACUAGUACAGUUAAUUAAAAAAAAACAUAAAGGCUGGAUGAGAAAAAAAGAAAAGGGCACGUAUCUAGCUUGAAUCAUUUGUAUCAUUUGAAUCAUUUGUAUCUACUAGAGAAAAAAAAGAUAAUAUACAUAUUUGCACAAUUCCCUCCUAGAGCAUUUUGUUGCUUCGAAAGAGAAUCCUCUUACAGUUAAACAAGAAACUGUAAGUGGUCCUUAUUUAGAGUUCAGUAUGUACUUCUUGCUGAUCUAUUAUAAACUAGUAUACUAAUCCCCUCAGUCUUGGCCUCUUGGGGUUUAGGAAUUCCUCAUGUAUCCACCCGAGUGCUCAUAACAAAGUUUAAAAUGAUCACCUUGAAUGUUGUAGGCCUAGUCAGCUGAAAUACCAAUGCAUCCCCAUCCACCAAUUCAUGAGCAAUCGCAAAUCCUCUCCAUCCACCGCUAAGUCCUUUUUUGUUCUCCAAGUAUACAGUAGGGUACUGCUCGCCUUGUUCGUCUACCAACGUCACAGUUGCAUCACGCUUAGGGAGGUACUUCCUGCAGAAAGAGAGUGGAAGACCCUGUUUCAAAACGAGAGAGAAUAUUUAGAAGAUUCUCCAGUGGUAAAUCAAAAUGAUUGUUACUUGGUACAAACUUAGAAGCAGCACAAUGCACAUAGAAUGGUUCAUAAACAUGAUUUGAAGUGUCAACAGAGUAAGAAAAUGGGUUGUCCCAAAAUCACAGAUUCAAUGCCAUAACUUUGCAGUAACUAUGACAGGACUAAACAAUAUGUGAUGGCCAUCCCUCCAGAAACACAAAGUUCCCAAUUUCAAUUAUGACAACUACAAACACAUAAAUACUAGCAAGACUAAAUCGGUCCUUACAGUACUUUAUACAUGAGAUUAAGGUGUCCAAAACAUGUGUACUUUUAUACUAGCAAUGCCAUACAAGAACAAUAGAGCACAAACAAACAAUGGACAAGUGAGAUAGUGGAGAUAUAAACCAAUUAUAUUACCAUCCAGAAUCCACCAGUGACAUGGGAUUGGAGCAUUGGUUUAACAAAGGUUGGGUAAUCGGACCCCAAACCCGACUCAAAUGCCUCAGCUUUCUCAGUGGCCUCAGCUCUGGAGUGCUCAUCAGCAUAUACCCGGUUGGAAAAAUCCCUAUGCUUUGAAACCCUCCCAUAGCUUCUUGGUAGCUUCACCUCAACCUGUCAAAAAUCACAAAAAUCUCCUCAAAGAUUGCAACUUUUUUCCCCAAUUUUUUUUAUAAAAAAAAAAAAAAAUUAUGAGCUGAAAAAUAAAAAUGGACUCACUUCUCUGUAAACAGGGGUAGGCUGGGUGGCGACGCGAGCGGACCUCCUGACCACAACAAUCUGCUUCUCCACUUUGCGAGGCUUCUGGCGCUUCAUCUGAGAAAUGAAGAGAAGAAGACAGAAUGAGCUGUUUUUACAGAAAUAGACAAAGGGUUUAGGGUUUUUGGGUUACCGGAGAGGGUUUGGGAAAAGCCGCCUGAGCCAGCUGAGGCAGAUUGAGGGCUUCCAUUCUCUUCCUGUUUUCUUCCAUCCUCUUCUUUCGGGUUUCUUCGUAGGACGUGUUUGGCUUCGCCAUCGCUACUUUUUCCAGAUGAACCAAGCAGAAAGUUCUCAGCUUUUUUAGGGUGUAGAAGAGGAAAGGGUGGGAAUUCAAGAUUUGAAAGGAUCGGACUCUGUUAACAACCCUUUUAAUUCUCCAUUUUGGAAUCAAAGUCCUUCCGAAUUACUCGGUAGUCAUUCUGCCAAAAAAAACAGAAUAAAAAAA